CAAGUAGCCGUUGUUCCAGGGACAACUGCCUAAAGUUGUUCCAGGUCCAACAACUCUGUUAACCAAUCGCUGCUAUGUGAUGUCAUCAAUGUGCGACUUCACCCCCUGUUCAAAAUUUCCCUCCCGAAAUCAACAUCUUUCCAGCUCUGUGUAGGAAGACACUUCAGAAAUUACAAAGCAACCUGAAAGCAGCCUUGAUGGAAUCAUCAAUUUGGAUCUCCAGCUUUGGAUGCUACUAUGUCUUUUCUUAUUGACAAGCUGGACAGGGUUGGCAAAUGAAAGGCACUAGUUGUCCUUUUAGUUGUGUUUUUUGUUGUAAAGCCACAUUGUUUUUUGUCUUAAAACCCCCAGUUGUGUUUCAGUCUAAUUAAAUGUCAUAUAAUUAGAUGUAA